GUGUUAAACGGCCGCGGUACCCUAACCGUGCAAAGGUAGCAUAAUCAUUUGCCUUUUAAUUGGAGGCUUGUAUGAAUGGUUUGACGAAAGCUAAGCUGUCUCUUUUUUAAUAUUUAGAAAUUAACUUUUAGGUGAAGAGGCCUAAAUUUACUUGAGGGACGAGAAGACCCUGUUGAGCUUUAAUGACACGGUAAAUAUUAAAUUUUGAUUAGUGAGAUUAAAAAAUCUUGCUGUGGAAAUGUUGUUUUAUCUUAGAUAAAAUAUUUUUUAUUGGUAAUUUUUAGUUGGGGCGACUGAGGAACAAAUAGAGCUUCCUUUAAUUGUAAAAAUUUUAAAUAUUGUAAGUGUUGGCUGAUUAAGGUGAUCCAGUAUUAUAUUGAUUAAAGGAAGAAGUUACCACAGGGAUAACAGCGUAAUCUUUCUGGAGAGAUCUUAUCGAAGGAAGGGUUUGCGACCUCGAUGUUGGACUAAGAUAUCCUAAGGGUGCAGAAGCUCUUGAUGGUUGGUCUGUUCGACCAUUAAAAUCUUACGUGAUCUGAGU
rnacentral:rRNA from 1 species